rnacentral:rRNA from 1 species
GACGAACGCUGGCGGCGUGCCUAAUACAUGCAAGUCGAACGCAGUGGGGACGGGUGCGUAACACGUGGGUAACCUCCCAUCAGAGGGGAUAACACUUGGAAACAGGUGCUAAACCGAUACGGAUGGAGGGACCCGGGGUGCAUUCGCUAGUUGGUGAGGUAACGACCCACCAAGGCCACGAUGCAUAGCCGACCUGAGAGGGUGACCGGCCACACUGGGACGGAGACACGGCCCAGACUCCUACGGGAGGCAGCAGUAGGGAAUCUUGGGCAAUGGGCGAAAGUCUGAUCGAGCCACGCAGCGUGAGUGAAGAAGGUUUUCGGAUCGUAAAACUCUUUUGUUGGAGAAGCGGUACCUGACGAGAAAGCCCCGGCUAACUACGUGCCAGCCGCCGCGGUAAUUC